rnacentral:tRNA from 1 species
GAAAAGAAAGCAAAUGGUGCGCAACUAUCUUGAAAAUAGUAUACGGAGGUUCGACCCCUUCUCUUUUCG